UUACAGCCAUAUCACUUUGAAACAACUGGUUCUUGUCCGAUCACCGAAGUUAAGCAGCGUUGAACUUGGUCAGUACUUAGAUGGGUGAUCAUCGGGAAUAGCGGGUGCUGUAA